UGGAUGUUUCGUUUUUUUUUUUGGGUUUGGAUGAUUUUUUUAUAAUUUUCGAUUUUUUUUUAAAUUUUAAAUGUUCUUUUAUCAAUAUUUUUUUUAAUGUUACGUUUUGUUAAAUUUUAAAAUUUUUAGAUAUCUCUUUUUUAUUAAGUUUUGAGUGUCUUAAAAUUUUUAAAAUGAUUUUUGAUUUUUUAAAUAAUUUUAAAAUUUUAAAACGACGAGAGAUAGUGAGCAGCGGAAGCGACUAGUGGUAGUGCGGCUACGCUAAGGCUCAGCAUUGUGGGGUGACGGUGACGGAUUGGCAGGGGGUUGUUGAGAGUGGAGGGUUGCGGUGAAAUUAGGGUAAUAGGAAGCUGAACUUCCACUUCCACUUUGUGCUGGGAGCUUCAAGACCCAGAAUAUUUUUUGUGGUAUAAGUAGCAGUUUUCUCAAGUUUCUUCUUCUGGGUUCUCUUUGAAGCUUCUAAAAUUUCCAUUUUUGUUUUAGUUUCUGGAAUUCACAUUUGGGUUUCAUUUGGUGUAGCAUUUAGGUAGGUCUCUUAUUUUAUUUUAUUUUAUUUUUUAAUAAUUCUUUUAUUUUGAUUUCUGCAAUUUUUUAUUUUUUAAUUUUUAGGGUUCUGUUUUUUUGUUUGCACUUUGCAGUUCUUAUAAUCUGAAGGUUGUGGUGGACAUUUCUGAUUUUAAUAAAAUAAAAUAAAAAAAAAUUGUGUUACAGAUCUUUGAGCGUGGAAGGGUUGGGGAGCCUAAUUAUCAUUAAAAUUCGGUAUUGGGGGUUUGUUAUUAUUAAUAUCUCAUCUAAACCUUUUAAUAUUUUCAUUUCAGCUUUAUGUCAAUGUGUGUGCCUGCUCCUGUCUCUUGAAUCUUGAGAAACUUUCUUUGCCAAACCAAAUAGUUUUCUAUUUUGACGGAAAAAGAAAAGUAUAUAAAGAAAUUGGGCAAUUAGAUUCCCUUCUGCUAAAUCAUGCCUAUGAAAUAGGUUACAAUCACAUAUAUUAAUACAAAGUAUGUAAAUAUGUAAUAGCUUUUUAUGCUUUUGAUCUGACACUCUACUUUGCCUUUUUGCAUUUUUAUUUUUAUUUUUUACUUUUUCUUUUUCCUCUUUGUGGUAGGAAACUUGGUUAAUUUUUUAUGCAUGCAAAGUGCAAACUUUUUGUGGUUAAAUUCCUAUUUAGAUAGAGUUUAAUUGCUUUUUAUGAGAGAUUAUAUUUAGGAGGAUCAACUGAUGAAAAUAUAUUAAUACGUGAGGCUUCCCUUUUUUGAGAUUCCCCAUUUGAUAAUUAGAAUUGAAGCUGGUAUUUAAUCUUAGGUUUGCUUGAUUUGCAGCGCUUCACACUCCCAAGACUCGCAAGUUGUUGCAUCUUCUAACUAGACUGGAACAUUAUCCACUGAGUGGUGUUUAUCUUGUUUUGAAUUGUCAAUUGUUAAGUGUAUUAUAGCAGAUGUCCUUCCGCAGUAUUGUUCGUGAUGUGAGGGAUGUAUUGUUCGUGAUCUGACACCUGAAAGUAAAGGGAUGUAUUGUUCGUGAUCUGACACCAAUGAGGGAUUAUGAAGUUGGCAAAUUGUGUUGAAAUUGGGCUCCCUGCAUUGGUUAUUCUAGUGAUAUUGUCCCAGGCCUACUUCCCACCAAUUUCACAGCCUGAAGGAUUGCCACUUAAAAUCCUUGAUGCAAAAGGCAAGGAAUGGAUAUUUCAAUUUCGCUUCUGGCCAAACAAUAAUAGCAGGAUGUAUGUUUUAGAGGGUUUCACUCCUUGCAUACAGUCAAUGCAGUUGCAAGCAGUAACAUUUAGUCGAUUGGAGCCAGAAGGGAGGUUGGUUAUGGGAUUUAGAAAGGCUUCCAAUGCCACGCCAUCUGAUCAGGUUCAAUUUGUUAUAUGAAGAAUGCAUUGAGUUUAAUAAGCUGGGACUUAGAGAUAAUGUUGCGCAGAUAUAUGUACUAGAGAUCUCCAAGUAUGAUAUCAGUGGAUCAGCUCUAGACUUGUCAAUAACAAGCUUUAAAUGCAGAGAUUUUACUUUUGGAAAUAGCAAAAGCCUCUAAUAUCCAAUUGUGGUGCCAUUUGUAACUCUCUUCAAAAGAUAAAGACCGACAAGUACAUUCAAAGGCAACCCAAGGAUCCAAUUAGCUUGAGAAAAACGUUCACUCUUGCUUAUGUGAAGCUUAGGUAAGGUUGUGAAUAAAUAAUUGGAGCUUGAAAUUGUGAAUACUGGAACUUGGAGGAAGCGGAUUAGUUGAGUUUUGAGGGGCUGUCUUGGUUUUGAAUAAAUAGCUUUGGUCGUUACGUGGAAAUCGGCCAAGAUGCAGGUCGAGAGGCAUCUCGUUAGGCGUCUGGACUCUUGAAGCGAAGUGGUUACUGGGAUAUUUUGUUAUGCUAUGAUGUAUAUAUAUGUACUUAGAUUUCUCUCCGCAUGACUUAUUCUUUUUGAUCCUCUUAGAGGUUUAUGGAGAGGCAGGAUUGUGUAUAUGUACUUUUGGGUUUGGAUACGUAUGUAUAUAUGUGUAAAUAUUCUCCGGCCAGUCUUGACUUCGCAGGCUGAGUUAGGAGCUUGAUAUUUUGUA